rnacentral:rRNA from 1 species
CGGACGGGUGAGUAACGCGUGAGAACCUACCCUUUGGAGAGGGAUAGCCACUGGAAACGGUGAUUAAUACCCCAUAUGCCGAGAGGUGAAAUGAAUUUCGCCUGAGGAUGAGCUCGCGUCUGAUUAGCUCGUUGGUGGGGUAAAGGCCUACCAAGGCGAUGAUCAGUAGCUGGUCUGAGAGGACAAUCAGCCACACUGGGACUGAGACACGGCCCAGACUCCUACGGGAGGCAGCAGUGAGGAAUUUUCCGCAAUGGGCGAAAGCCUGACGGAGCAACGCCGCGUGAGGGAUGAAGGCCUCUGGGCUGUAAACCUCUUUUCUCAAGGAAGAAGACCUGACGGUACUUGAGGAAUAAGCCACGGCUAAUUCCGUGCCAGCAGCCGCGGUAAUACGGGAGUGGCAAGCGUUAUCCGGAAUUAUUGGGCGUAAAGCGUCCGCAGGCGGCCUCGUAAGUCUGUCGUUAAAGCGUGGAGCUUAACUCCAUUUCAGCGAUGGAAACUGCGAGGCUUGAGUGUGGUAGGGGCAGAGGGAAUUCCCGGUGUAGCGGUGAAAUGCGUAGAUAUCGGGAAGAACACCAGUGGCGAAGGCGCUCUGCUGGGCCAUAACUGACGCUCAUGGACGAAAGCCAGGGGAGCGAAAGGGUUUAGAUACCCCAGUAGUC